GAUUAUUUUAAUAGUGAAUAUAUUUAAAAAAUAAGUCUCACUCACUGUAGAAAGACCCAUUCGAAAACCCAUUUGGAAUCUUGGAUGUUGUUACAAUUGUCUUAGCAACAAUUUAUUAAUCAUAACCUCCACAAAAAAAUUGGGCUAAGUCAAAACAAAAUUCCACGCUGAGCCCACUCCUCCGUUGUUAUCAUCUAUAAAAUCAAAAUCUAUAGGGUCAGCUCCCUCGCAAUCUCCUUCCAACCCUAGUUUAGCCCUGUGCAUUUCCCUUUCCCUUCGCCUCUUGUAAUUUGUUCGCGGCCGCAACGCACUACCAUUACAACUACUUGUUCAGCAGGCAGGGCAGUCGGUCGGUAUGUUGCUUGUAUAUUGGACAGAGGAAAGGAGGAAUAAUCGUUGUAACGGUGGUUGGGGUUGCCUACCCGGCGUUCCAAUCCGUAUCUUAUGCGAUUGAUACAGUAAUGAGUGAAUGAGGACACACAUAUCUAUUUAUUAUGUAUGUAGGCAAUUGAUGUACGCUUCUGAGUGGAAUGCUCGAUUUUUUUGAGUAUGAUGACGCUCAUCUGAAUAGGAAGAUCUGAUGUCUAUGCAACUUUCUUUAUUACAAUGUCUCUCCGUGCUUGACCCUCAGACAGACGAUGGCAUUUUAGCUUCCAGCUCUCAAAUUAAUUAAAAAUGUCCGCAGCUGAGGUUUGAGCACAGCUUAGCUUGUUUUAGUGAUUAUGAUACUUUCAAGUUUCUGUUAUCCCUGUCUGAUGGAUAAACUUGUGCUGAUACAUUAGCGUCAGACUCUGAGCCGUGCAUUGCUACCAGGAUUUAUCCACAUCUUCUUACUUGUAAUUUUGUAUCAUUUGUCUGCCCUUUGCCUUGUGCAUAUAUUUCCAGCUAAAUGUGUGUAUGCUGCUGCGAGUACCUGUGAUAUGCUGAGUGGUUGACGAAGGAGCAAAAUAAAAGGAAUACGAGGAGAGCCUAAGAGGAGGGGGAAGGGUAGUCCAUGUCGCCGAAUGCUUGUAAUAAAUCUUGUGGAUUGGUUUACGUGACUUUUUCUUCCUUCCAAAGGCAUUCAUUCAGUCAGACUAAGAUGAUGCCUUUUAAGGUGUCCGUGCUUCUCUGUAAGUGGUGUGGUUCGUGAUCUUAAUGACAAGUGUAUUUAGAGGAUUGAACUUAAUAUUUACAAGAAUUACUUUUUUUAUUAAA